rnacentral:rRNA from 1 species
GACGAACGCUGGCGGCGUGCUUAACACAUGCAAGUCGAACGAAGUGGCGAACGGGUGAGUAAUACGUGGGUAACCUGCCCUCCUUUUUGGGAUAAGCCUUGGAAACGGGGUCUAAUACCGAAUAAAGGGGGUUGGGUACGCGGCCUAUGAGCUUGUUGGUGGGGUGAUGGCCUACCAGGGCGGUGACGGGUAGCCGGCCUGAGAGGGUGACCGGCCGCAUUGGGACUGAGAUACGGCCCAGACGCCUACGGGAGGCAGCAGUAGGGAAUCUUCGGCAAUGGACGAAAGUCUGACCGAGCAACGCCGCGUGUGUGAAGAAGGUCUUCGGAUUGUAAAGCACUUUAAGUUGGGAGGCGGUACCAACAGAAUAAGCACCGGCUAACUUCGUGCCAGCAGCCGCGGUAAUUC